AUUGAACGCUGGCGGCAGGCCUAACACAUGCAAGUCGAACGAGUGGCGGACGGGUGAGUAAUGUCUGGGAAACUGCCUGAUGGAGGGGGAUAACUACUGGAAACGGUAGCUAAUACCGCAUACCAUCGGAUGUGCCCAGAUGGGAUUAGCUAGUAGGUGGGGUAAAGGCUCACCUAGGCGACGAUCCCUAGCUGGUCUGAGAGGAUGACCCGCCACAGUGGAACUGAGACACGGUCCAGACUGCUCGGGGAGACGGCAGUGGGGAAUAUGGCAAAAGGGGCGCAAGCAUGAUGCAGCAAUGCGGGGGGUAUAAAGAAGGCCUUCGGGUUUUAAAGUACUUUCAGCGGGGAGGCGUUACCCGAAGAAGAAGCACCGGCUAACUCCGUGCCAGCAGCCGCGGUAAUAC
rnacentral:rRNA from 1 species